rnacentral:rRNA from 1 species
UGGACGAGGCUAUUCUUGAAGAUUAAGCCAUGCACGUGCUAAGUACAAACGAUUAUUUCGUGAGACUGCGGACGGCUCAGUAUAUCAGUGAUUAUCUAUUUGAUUGUCUACCCCAUUGGAUAACCGUGGGAAAUCUAGAGCUAAUACAUGCAAGAUCUUGGCGUGGAUUUCGGUUCAUGUCAAAGCAUUUAUUAGACUAAACCAACUACUGUGUGCUUGCAUAUAGUAAGGCGAAUCUAGAUAACUUUGCUGAUCGUAUGGCCUAGCGCCGACGACGUUUCAAUUGAGUUUCUGCCCUAUCAACUUGUUGGUAAGGUAUUGGCUUACCAAGGUUGCAACGGGUAACGGGGAAUCAGGGUUCGAUUCCGGAGAGGGAGCCUGAGAAACGGCUACCACAUCCAAGGAAGGCAGCAGGCACGGAAAUUACCCAAUCUAGACAGUAGGAGGUGGUGAAGAGAAUUACUAAGUGGUGAUCUAAUAGAUUACCAGCUUGGAAUGAACGUAAUUUAAGCAAUUCGAUGAGUAACUACUGGAGGGCAAGUCCUGGUGCCAGCAGCCGCGGUAAUUCCAGCUCCAGUGGCCUCCUCUAAAGUUGUUGCGUUUAAAACGCUCGUAGUUGGAUCACGCAGUGGUAUUCAGUUAUCUAUAUAGCAACGCCAGUGAUUUCUCUUGUUUUCUAAACAUGUAGAGUUGCUGUGUGUGCAUGUUGAUAAUUAAGCUGAAUGCCACUAUUUGCACGCGAGUGUGGUGGUUGACCUUUAUUGCGUUGAGCAUCACGACUUGCGGGGUGUGCCUUGAAUAAAACAGAGUGCUUAAAGCAGGCUUUGCUUGAAUGUUGUAGCAUGGAACGAACAAACGUGUAUAUGUACGUGUUAUGCAGCGUGGGUGAGUUUAUGAUUCGCCUAUGCUGUUGAUGCGCACAGCACCUACCAAAAUAUGGAUGUUGGUUCCGUAUACGGUGAUGAUUAAAAGGAGCGGUUGGGGGCAUUGGUAUUUGACCGCGAGAGGUGAAAUUCUUAGACCGGUCAAGGACCAACAAAUGCGAAGGCAUUUGUCUAGACCGUUUCCAUUAAUCAAGAACGAAAGUGGGAGGUUCGAAGACGAUCAGAUACCGUCCUAGUUCCCACUGUGAACUAUGCCGACCUGGGAUCAGUUUGGAGAUAUACAAGCUCUAGGUUGGUCCCUCUGGGAAACCUCAAGUUUUUCGGUUACGGGGAGAGUAUGGUCGCAAGGCUGAAACUUAAAGGAAUUGACGGAAGGGCACCACCAGGGGUGGAGCCUGCGGCUUAAUUUGACUCAACACGGGGAAGCUUACCUGGUCCGGACAUCGAUAGGAUAAACAGACUGAUAGAUCUUUUUUGAUGCGGUGAGUGGUGGUGCAUGGCCGUUCUUAGUUCGUGGAGUGAUCUGUCAGGUUAAUUCCGGUAACGAACGAGACCACAUUCUCCAUUUAAGAAACGGGAGCAGAGAGUUGUGUAUUGAAUAUUUCGGUAUUGAAUAUGUGACGCUCGUAGGAACUUGCGACUCGUUUUUUGGGUAUGACUUUGGGGCAACCUGAUUUGGUAUCUGCGGAUCGAGUUGUUUGUCCCUUCCGUCAAACAGUAGGCAGUGCGAACUGUCUGCUGUCUUAUGGAGAGACAACGAGGUAUAUCAAAGCUUGAGGAAGAGUGGCUAUAACAGGUCAGUGAUGCCCUUCGAUGUUCAGGGCUGUACGCGCGCUACAAUGAUAACAACAGCAAGUGUCUAGGUCGAAAGACUUGGGUAAUCUCGAAUUGUUAUCGUGAUGGGGAUUGACCGUUGUAAUUUUCGGUCAUGAAAGAGGAAUCCCUCGUAUAUGCAUUUUAAUACAAUGUAUAGAAUGAGUCCCUGCCCUUUGUACACACCGCCCGUCGCUACUACCGAGUGAGUGGUGUCAUGAUGCCUUGUGACUGGACGUUGAUGGGGUUUUCGGACUCUGUCAAACGCUAGAAUCAGCGUAAAAUGGCGCAAUUUCGAGGAAGUAAAAGUCGUAACAAGGCUU